rnacentral:rRNA from 1 species
GUCGAUUAGUCUUUCGCCCCAUGCGCAGAUUUGACGAUCGAUUUGCACGUCAGAACCGCUGCGAGCCUCCACCAGAGUUUCCUCUGGCUUCACCCUAUCCACGCAUAGUUCACCAUCUUUCGGGUCCGAACAGUUAUGCUCUUACUCAAAUCCAUCCGAAGACAUCAGGAUCGGUCGAUGAUGCACCCGUAAGGGCUCUCACCUCCGUUCACUUUCAUUACGCUUGAGGGUUUAACACCCAAAAACUCGCAUAAAUGUUCGACUCCUUGGUCCGUGUUUCAAGACGGGUGGCUGAUGACCAUUAUGCCAGCAUCCUAGCCGAAGCGCGGUCCUCAGUCCCAGCGGCGGUAUUACACAGCAGGCUAUAACACUCCCGGGGGAGUCACGUUCCUGAAGUCUUUAUCCCGCCGCCGAAACUGAUGCUGGCCUCAACCAAGCGGAGUGCACCGGUGAGAACACCGGAUGAUCCGCAAGGCAAAGGUCUGGUCACAAGCCCUUCCCUUUCAACAAUUUCACGUACUAUUUAACCCUCUUUUCAAAGUGCUUUUCAUCUUUCGAUCACUCUACUUGUGCGCUAUCGGUCUCUGGCCGGUAUUUAGCUUUAGAAGAAAUUUACCUCCCAUUUAGAGCAGCAUUCCCAAACUACUCGACUCGUCGAAGGAGAUUUACAGAGGCUCGGCAUCCAACCGUACGGGGCUCUCACCCUCUAAGGCGUCCUGUUCCAAGGAACUCGGAAGGUACCUAACCAAAAUCAUCCUCUACAAAUUACAACUCGGACCCGAGGGCCAGAUUUCAAAUUUGAGCUGUUGCCGCUUCACUACGCCGUUACUAGGGCAUACCUGUUGUU